AAUCAACGCUGGCGGCGUGCCUCAGACAUGCAAGUCGAACGAUUAAAGCUCUCUUCGGAGAGUGUAUAGAGUGGCGCACGGGUGAGUAACACGUAAGUAAUCUACCCUCGGGUGGGGAAUAACAUUCGGAAACGAAUGCUAAUACCGCAUAAUGCAGCGGCUCCUAAUGGAGACAGUUGUUAAAGGAUUUAUUCGCCUGAGGAGGAGCUUGCGGCAGAUUAGCUAGUUGGUAAGGUAAUGGCUUACCAAGGCUACGAUCUGUAGCCGGUCUAAGAGGACGGUCGGUCACACUGACACUGAAUAACGGGUCAGACUCCUACGGAGGCAGCAGUCGGGAAUUUUGGGCAAUGGGCGAAAGCCUGACCCAGCAACGCCGCGUGAAGGAUGAAGUAUUUCGGUAUGUAAACUUCGAAAGAAUAGGAAGAAUUAAUGACGGUACUAUUUAUAAGGUCCGGCUAACUACGUGCCAGCAGCCGCCGUAAC
rnacentral:rRNA from 1 species